CCUCAGGCCAGGCAAGUCUGCGUUGAUCCGACGCUGACCUGACCUGAUUUCACCAAUCGGGGACCUUCUUUUCAAACGCCUUGGCUGAAUCGACCGCACCUGGGCGCCAGGGCCGCCGCCCGCCCCCGCCGAGCACCUCCGUCGCGCGGCACCUCGUCAAGUUUCGGCCGGGCAGGGCGCGUGCGCUGCCUCGCCGGCGACGACCGCCAUGGCGUUCACGCGCCUGGAGCUGCGAUGCCCCAGGGCGCUCGACCCCCGCCCGAGCUGGACCCUCGGCGAGGUCCUCACCGAGCUCGACGCACUCGAAGCCACCCGCCGCGCCGCGCCCCCCACGCCCCUCAAGCAGCAGCCGGAGUGGGCUAGCGGUGGCAGCGCAAGGAAGAAGGCCUUUGUGAUGCGGAUUGAGGAGGAAGACGACACGGACGAGGAAGACGAUAACGAUAAUGAGGAUGCCCGGGCUCUUGUGACCGGAGCCAGGUUCUCAUGUAAUGAUCUCGAAUGCAGCAGCUUUGAAGAAUCAGGGGAUGAAUUAGAUAGCGGUAGUACAUCAUACCACCUGAUGGAGAAAAGGAGCCUAGAGAAAAGCAUUCUGCUUGAGCUGGAACGCGAUCAUCAUCUCAAAAUUCAAGAGGAAGUUAGAAGUAAGUUAUCUUCGUUGGAGGUAUGCCACCAAAAUGAAAUCCAGAGAACAAUCUCUGCAUUUGCUCGACUUCAGAAAUAUGCAGAAUCACGAAAAGAGAUAGAUAGAAGGCUAGAUGUCCAAUUCCAGAGAAAAAUUGCAGAAGUACUCGAUAAACACUUAUCUAUGGUCCAAAGGGAUCAUGAACAGAAAUCCCAGAUUGUGGAACGUAGAAUAAGAGAUGAUGCAGCUGUUGAAGAAGCUAAACGAAGGGAGCAAUCUAUGAAGGAAGAAAAAAUAAAACAGGAAAGGGCCAGACAAGAAGCAGAGGCCAGGCAGAAGGCAACUGCAAAAUUAGCAGCUGACGCACAGAAAGCAGCAUAUGAAGCUGCUCAAAAGGAAGCUGUAGAAAAGGAAGCUGCUAAAUCGAGGGCAGAAGCAGUUUCCACAUCUAGCCAAAUUUCUCAGAAAAGUGUCGCCCAUGCAACAAUAAUGGCAAUCAGUACUGAAAUCAAAUCAGAAUUACCAGGAAUAAAAAUCUAUGCUGAUAGUUCUGCAUUAGAAGCGGAAUCACGGAGGCUCGCAUUACAUGACCAAGUGCCAUCAAACAUUUACCUCAGCAAGGAGUAUAGCCGAUAUGACCGACAAAUUGGAAAGUCUAUCAGUAAACUUAUGCCAACUACCGACAGUGUCAAGGCCAGGGCUAGUGAGCUUAUUAAAGCUUUAGAUGGACAGGAUUGUCCUCGUCCAAUCGCUUGUCGUUUAUUUGCAGACAAGAUGAUUUCAAUAGUCAAGAGUCGGAAUCCGACGGACAAAACCUUUGGAAAAUUGGCCUUUGCUUGUGGAUAUGUCAUGCUACUAGUUACCAAUCAGGUACCAGAUGCAAUGGAUUAUCUUCUGGCUGAGUUCAACAAAGUUUGCAUGUACACAGUUCCAAAGCAUCUCCAUGCUUUAAAUGCACAAGCACGAAACACAGAUUACUUCAGGCUUAUUGGCUACCAGGAAGAAGAUGGAAAACUUCAGAGCACUGAGAAGUAUUUGGUAAAUGUUGUUGCAUACGUCAAACUCUAUGCUGCCAUGAUUCAGAAAUCAAAGGUGUGCGGCAUCCACAUGGCUUAGCCGAGGGAUGGAAAUGGCUUGCAAUGUUCCUCAAUACUAUCCCGGCGAUCCCUGCCACUGCUUUUGCCCUUCAUGCUUUCCUCAAGGUCGCUGGUUUUGCGCUUCACAAGAAAUAUGGAUCACAGUUCAUGAAAAUUCUAGAUGUAAUAUCGCGGCACUUCAUACCAGCUUUGAAAGCACAAGGUUCGAAAGUUCAGCCAGAGGCUAUCAAUAAUCUACAGAAUUAUCUGAAUGACAAAAUUUAUCUGGAGGAGCCAGAAGGGCAGUACCUUGCCCAGCAGCUGCUAUCGAAAAUGUUCUUGUGAAAAUUAACAUCAGAUCGGCAUGGAGAGCUAUCAGCUAUGAUUAGCAGCAGUAGUUGCCAGUUGGUGCAUCUAUUUCGUCCGAGGGAGUAAGCUCCGUGGGUGUAACUUAUGGAGAAGCCUAAAAUUGUCUUGAAGAUUAUUUUGGAUGGACUUCCACCAUGUUACUCCCUCCAAUCCAAAUUACUUUUCGCUCAAAUGGAUGUAUCUAGCCUGAAAUAUGUCUAAGAUAUGGAUCGGAGGGAGUAGUAAAUUAGGAUAGAAGUGCCACUUGGUGGAGGUCAUGCGAUUUCUUGUGAUGUAUACUAUGGGAUGCAAACCUUAUGUCAGUUUGAAGUCAACGUUGUUCUGAAUAUAAUUCAUCUGCGUUGAUCAAA